rnacentral:rRNA from 1 species
GAUGAACGCUGGCGGCGUGCCUAAUACAUGCAAGUCGAGCGAACAGACGAGGAGCUUGCUCCUCUGACGUUAGCGGCGGACGGGUGAGUAACACGUGGAUAACCUACCUAUAAGACUGGGAUAACUUCGGGAAACCGGAGCUAAUACCGGAUAAUAUAUUGAACCGCAUGGUUCAAUAGUGAAAGACGGUUUUGCUGUCACUUAUAGAUGGAUCCGCGCCGCAUUAGCUAGUUGGUAAGGUAACGGCUUACCAAGGCAACGAUGCGUAGCCGACCUGAGAGGGUGAUCGGCCACACUGGAACUGAGACACGGUCCAUACUCCUACGGGAGGCAGCAGUAGGGAAUCUUCCGCAAUGGGCGAAAGCCUGACGGAGCAACGCCGCGUGAAUGAUGAAGGUCUUCGGAUCGUAAAACUCUGUUAUUAGGGAAGAACAAAUGUGUAAGUAACUAUGCACGUCUUGACGGUACCUAAUCAGAAAGCCACGGCUAACUACGUG